CGGCUCACAUGACCCAGCCUCCCUCCCUGCUCUCCAGGGCAGAGCGCCCACACAUGCCCUGCAGACCGUCUGGUCCUGGAGUGAGAACCUGUCGGCCUACCAGGGUCCCAGGGUCCCUCUUUGGCUUAUAGUGGUCCUGAAGCCCUGGGCACCAUCUGCAGCCUCCAUCAGGGAGCACCUGUGAAGUCUCAGCCCCAGGGAUCAAUACAGUCCCCUCGGCCCACCCACCCCAGCACCUCCUUGGCGGCAGACGCAUACUCAGACACCUGGUGGAUCAGGUCGAGAACUCAGAGCCAUGAAGGACACAUGGUCGGGGGCGCCGCUGCAACGGUCAUGACGCCAUAGCCAGUAUUUAUGGCUUCCUUCCUCCUUCCCGAAUCCCACGUUCCCUCUGCCUCCAGCCAGAGCCGCAGCUGCUCAGGAGACUUUACCAGCAGUAAAAUCCACGGCGCACCAGCAAGAGCCAUUGUGUGUGCGCCGAGUGUGCUCAGCCAGUCUCCUGUUGAUGGACACCUGGUGUUUUCAACCUGCAUGUGAUCACAAGCAAUAAAAUGAAUAAUCUUGCUAG